UAUUUACCCACAAACCUAAAGAGUUACUUUUUUGUGCUGAUUUUCACCCAGUUUUUAUCCUGAUCCAUCCCCAGGAAGUUUUAAACAAAACACAAAUGGAAAACGAAGGGCUUCGCUCCCAGCACGAGACCCAGAGGCCGUUUAAUUCAAUGGAAGGGGGGGAACUCAGAGGCAAUCACAAUCAGCCGGUGGAACUCACUGCCACAGGAAGUCGAGGCCAAGACCUUUGUGAGGUUCCAAGAGCGACUGGAUGUUUGCGCGGGUAACAAGACUCUCCGGAGACAUUGAUAAAGCUGCCGGCGGGGAAAGUGAAAACACUGUCAGAGAUCAGAACGAGACCUCCCCUGAGACGGGUCAGCCCCCUCUGCUCCGGCACCAAACUCUGCAGCAGCUGGGCGGGCGGAGGGGGCUGAGCGCGCCUGGUGAUUGCUGUGCUCGUGGGCCAAGGCUGGGGCCACAUGCACAGACUGGCCAGGCCCUCCCUGCCGCUCGCCUGCCCCGACUGCGGGUGCCUCCCCCCGAAGGGCCACCCCAGGGUGCACUGGUGAGCCCCGAGGGUGGUGCAGAGUGGGGGCCUGGGGAGGGCACUGGUGCUGGUGCAGAGGCGGCACCGCUGGGCUGUGAGCCCUGGUGCCAGGCACAGCCAGCCCUGAACCGACUUUUCCAUUCAACUGGCGCGGACUCUAUUUUCCCGGGGCGCUCAGGCAGAAAAUCCCCCGGUGCCACCCCCCCCCCAUGCAGCCCCUUGUUAUUCUGGGCAGCACGCUCCGGCCAAGUGUGGUUUGCGCGGCGCCGCAGCCGGGCAGGGGGUGGGUUGUUUGGGAUGUGCCCCCCCCCCGUCUUAACUCCCCCCGGGCGUUGCCAGGGGCGCCCGCACCCAGGUGGCACCAGCGCCCGAGCCAGGACUCAGAGUCGGAUGCAGCACAAACGCCUCCUGCUCCUUCCAGCCAGCGACCCCUCCUUCCCCUGCCUCCCCCUUCCCGGCAGCUGCCCAGGAGUCCGGCGCUGCUGGCAGGGCCGGACAACAAAGAAAGCCCACGGCUACAAGGACAAAACAGAACGUCCUCACCCAUCAGCCCCCUGCCCUGGCCCCAUUGGCUGGGGCGACCCCCCAGCGCAGGUGGGGGGCUGCUCCCUG
rnacentral:lncRNA from 1 species